ensembl:snRNA U6 U6 spliceosomal RNA
UUGUUAACUUAGUCAGCAUAUAAAUCAAAAUUAGAAUGAUGCAACUAAGAUUAGUAUGGCAUCUGCACAAGAAUGACAACCAAUUGUAAGAAUUACUUUUCUUGUUU